CAGAAGAGGACAGUGGAACUCCAUGUGUAGCGGUGAAAUGCGUAGAUAUAUGGAAGAACACCAGUGGCGAAGGCGGCUGUCUGGUCUGUAACUGACGCUGAGGCUCGAAAGUAUGGGUAGCAAACAGGAUUAGAUACCCUGGUAGUCCAUACCGUAAACGAUGAAUGCUAAGUGUUGGAGGGUUUCCGCCCUUCAGUGCUGCAGCUAACGCAUUAAGCAUUCCGCCUGGGGAGUACGGCCGCAAGGCUGAAACUCAAAGGAAUUGACGGGGGCCCGCACAAGCGGUGGAGCAUGUGGUUUAAUUCGAAGCUACGCGAAGAACCUUACCAGGUCUUGACAUACUAUGCAAAUCUAAGAGAUUAGACGUUCCCUUCGGGGACAUGGAUACAGGUGGUGCAUGGUUGUCGUCAGCUCGUGUCGUGAGAUGUUGGGUUAAGUCCCGCAACGAGCGCAACCCUUAUUAUCAGUUGCCAGCAUUAAGUUGGGCACUCUGGUGAGACUGCCGGUGACAAACCGGAGGAAGGUGGGGAUGACGUCAAAUCAUCAUGCCCCUUAUGACCUGGGCUACACACGUGCUACAAUGGAUGGUACAACGAGUUGCGAACUCGCGAGAGUAAGCUAAUCUCUUAAAGCCAUUCUCAGUUCGGAUUGUAGGCUGCAACUCGCCUACAUGAAGUCGGAAUCGCUAGUAAUCGCGGAUCAGCAUGCCGCGGUGAAUACGUUCCCGGGCCUUGUACACACCGCCCGUCACACCAUGAGAGUUUGUAACACCCAAAGUCGGUGGGGUAACCUUUUAGGAACCAGCCGCCUAAGGUGGGACAGAUGAUUAGGGUGAAGUCGUAACAAGGUAGCCGUA
rnacentral:rRNA from 1 species